rnacentral:rRNA from 1 species
AUGCACGCUGGCGGCGUGCCUAAUACAUGCAAGUCGAGCGAACAGAUAAGGAGCUUGCUCCUUUGACGUUAGCGGCGGACGGGUGAGUAACACGUGGGUAACCUACCUAUAAGACUGGGAUAACUUCGGGAAACCGGAGCUAAUACCGGAUAACAUUUGGAACCGCAUGGUUCUAAAGUGAAAGAUGGUUUUGCUAUCACUUAUAGAUGGAUCCGCGCCGUAUUAGCUAGUUGGUAAGGUAACGGCUUACCAAGGCGACGAUACGUAGCCGACCUGAGAGGGUGAUCGGCCACACUGGAACUGAGACACGGUCCAGACUCCUACGGGAGGCAGCAGUAGGGAAUCUUCCGCAAUGGGCGAAAGCCUGACGGAGCAACGCCGCGUGAGUGAUGAAGGGUUUCGGCUCGUAAAACUCUGUUAUUAGGGAAGAACAAACGUGUAAGUAACUGUGCACGUCUUGACGGUACCUAAUCAGAAAGCCACGGCUAACUACGUG